rnacentral:lncRNA from 1 species
AAAAUUACUUCUAAUUUAAAACCAUAGCCAAAAAUAUAUAUAAAUAUACAAUCCCAAAAGUAUAACUGUAUAUAUACAUAACUCUAAAAUAUGAAAACAACCACCCUAUUUACAUCCUGGAUGGUAUUGUAGUGGACCGACCUUUAUCUCUAGCAAAAAUCUGCAACCAAAAGGGUGACAGGAGAGUGUUAGAAAGAAUCAUAAUAGAAAAAAACUUGGCACACAAUUUUAGAUGGAUCAUAUCAGUGAAAAUGACCAGCUUUCUCAAAUAAGCUAUGCAACAACAAUUCAAAUUCUAUAUGUGUAAAUAAUUUCUCCAAAACAGGAGAUUAAAUCUCAUCCAAGCAAGAAAAAAAUAUUUUUCUACACAAAUUUGUUUCCAUAAAUAAAUAACCUUUAUCAUUUUACCAUGUGCCAAAUGAGUCGUUUAAAACCUCACACCCGGGAGUUAUGACUGUACCCAUUACCUCAGUCACAAACUCACAAUAGUGGGUUUGUGAGAAGGGCCAUUCUUUAUCACCAAGGAUAUGUCCAGCAUGUUAGAUUAGUAGUCAACCAAAAGGUAACAACAACCAAGCUCCACCGUGCAAAACAACACCCAAGUUUGCCAAAUAUCAACACAAGCACACAACCAAACUUGCCAACAAUAGCACAAGAGGCAACAUCAAAAUAACAGUUAAUAACCAAAAUAUGAUCCAUCUUAAUCAAAAGUAUAUCAAAUUUCUACACUACAUAUUAUAUCAUAUGAAGUACUAGUUCCAAUUAAAACCUGAAAAGCUUCAAACUAUUAUGAACUAGACACUCUCACCUUAACAAAGUCAAAAUUUUUGAUACACAAGUCAAUUCUUUACUUUGGCGACGUACUUGACACGCGAUUAUGUUAUCCCCACAUAAAAUAUGAAUUAUACAAUAUCUAAUCAGAUUCUAUUUCUUCCUAUAACAAAAAAAUGCAAGGAAAUGCAAGAACAUGCAACAUGCAACUCUUACCAUGUUGCGAUUUCCUAUUUUUAUGAGUACCGAAAUAUUUUCUAUAAAUCAUAAAAUUUUGUACGAAAUAGUAUACAUACACAGGUACAACAUAUUAAAAUUUAAGAAUUUUUUAAUACCAUUAACUAUUUUUUAAAAUUCAAAUUUCAGAGAUUCAAAUUCUGCACUACAGAGAUUCAACAAUAGCAACUCGGUUUAUCAUUUUUAUAAAUUUUCUCGAAUCUAAUUUUUGACGCAAGUAUUUUACACACAUCCUAUAUACAUUUACCUAUACAGAAAUUGUAACUACAUAAUAUUUUUUUAAAAAAUUCGAAAACCUUCUCAGAAUUUUUAAAAUCUGAUUACCCAAAUAAACACAAAAAUUCGAAAAUCAAAUUAUUGCUCUAUAAUCACAUCAAAUUGUCAAUACAACAUAAACUAACCUUAAACAAGGCAUAGUAUCUAUGACUCUCAUAUUUUUUCUAAUUUCAUAUCCGAUUCUCAAAUAUGAGAAGUUUGAACAAAUCUGGACAUAUUUAUAUUGAAUCAUAUCUCAGUAACUUUUCCAAGCCUCUCUCCUAGUUUUCUUCUUCUUCUAUCCAGCUCUGCCCUUCCCUCUCUCCGUCUCUGUUUUGUUAGUUAUUGUUUGUUUUCUUAUAUACACUAUAUACAUACAUUCGAUAAAACCAGGAAGAAACAGUGGUUCCUAUGACAAAAUUACAAUUUUUUUUAAUCCAAUUCCACCUUUUUCCCCCUAUAUUUAAUUAUAUUAUCUCGAUAUUAGGAUAUUUAGAUUUCACCCCAUAAACUUUUUAAAUCAUCUUACUUAUUUCCUUGCAACUUAAUAACUACUAUUAAAUUACUUCAUUAAACAAUUAAUAUUUAAAACACGGGUUUCACACUUCCCUCCCCUUAAAAGAAUUUCGUCCUGAAAUUUUACAUACCGUGGUUAAAUAAGUGGGGAUAUUGACUCCGUAUUUUAUCUUCUCUUUCCAAGUUGCCUCUUCGCUUGUAUUACUACGGCACACACCUUCACAAGGGUAUAGGCUUGGUUCGCAAUACUGAUCUUUUUAUCCAAAAUUGUAAUGUCCAACAUCAGACAAAUCUUCUUUAACUCAAUAGAUUGCCCAGUUAAAACAUGAGAAAGGACCUGGUAUAUACUUUUUCACAUUGAGAAAUGGAAUACAUUAUGUUUAUGUAACUGGGCUAACUCUGGAGGCCAAAACCAAAUGAUAAGCUAUACUAACCCAAUUUCUGGAUAAUCUCCUACGGUCCAAUGUUACGAGGACUCAAUUGUCCUUUCUUUCCAAAUCUCAGCAACCCUUCAUGGUGUGAUGAAACCGCCAGAAAUACUAAUCGCAACUUCAAAUUCCAAAUCCCUUCUACGAUUAUCAGGUAACUUUUUGUGCCUAUAUGGGUUUCUUGUUCUUUUCUCGAUCACCUUUACUUUUUUUCUCUAGUGAGUUCAAUAUAAUGGCUCAAGUAACUUUCUUUCUUUACUUCUGCCAAGGGCAUAUUGGACUUCGAUAUUUUUGGCCAUACAAAGCUUCAUAUGGAGGCCAUACCAAUGUCGACUGAAAACUUUAUUAUAGGCAAAAUUCUAUCGAGGUUAAAUAGUCCUCCCAACUACCCUUUGAAAAUCUAGUACACACGAUCGAGCAUAUCUUCCAUAUGGUAUAGUCCGUUCUGAAUAUCCAUCAGCUGCGAUGAAAUGCAGUACGAAAUAUCAAAGUCGUGCUAAAGCAUUUGUAAAACUUGGCCAAAUUAGAUGUAAGCGAGGAUUUCCCGAUCAGAAACAAUAGAGAUUGAGUACCAUCAAUUUAAUAAUCUCAUCGAACACAAGCGGCAUUAUUCUCCAUAGAAAAUGUGUCUUAAUUAGGUAAAAAAAGUGUGCAGGACUUUGUCAUCAUCAACAUCACCCAAAUAGCCUUUCAUGUCCUUUUGGAGGGCGAGGUAGUCAUGUCACAAAGUCUAUGGUAAUUAUGGUUCCCAUUUCCCACUUCAGCGCUAUAGGAAGAGGUUGGUAACAAACCCUGCUGGUCUUAGAGGGUUCAUCUUUACUUGUUGACACACCAAACAUUUGCUACCAAAACAGUUAUAUCUCACUUUACACCAUUCCACAGUAAUUUUCUCAUAAAAUCUUGUACAUUUUGGUACUCAUGGAUUGCCAUAGCAUAAGUAGAACUAGAGCCUUUCAAGUAUUUUCCCUUUGCAAACUCAAUAUUAUCAAGGUACACACAAGUCUAUUACCAGAUAGCAAUGCAUUAUCCCUAUCAAGAUAUGACAAAAUCAGUUCUCAAGCCGGCUUUUAUCUGAUCUGAUCUUGUUAUCUGAUUCUUUGAAUUUGAAGACUCCGAAUAGCCAUCAAACAAAGUGUAGGUCUCAAUGAAGAGUAGCCAGGUAGCUCCAAUUUUAUUAAAGUCUAAUUUAACUUGAAGGGACUUCAAAUCAGAAUAUAAAUUAGUGCGGAAGAUUGCCAAGUCCGUAAAUUUGCGACCUCAAAAGCAUCAGCCACAACAUUUAAUCAAUUUUCAUCCAUCUCCUUUGUCUAAAUUCAAAUCUUUUCUAUGUAAAAAGAUACCUUUAGACUCUGAUGGAUUAGUAUCAAUCUCACAUGAACACCACCUAAAUAGUGUCGCCACAACUUCAAUGCAAAAAAAAUAAUAGCGUGCUAACCUCUAAAUUGGGUAGGAUAAUUUCUCUUAUGGGGUUUUAAGUGUCUAGAACGCAUAUGCAAUGAACCUUAACAUGUUUGCAUUAAAACAAAUCCACAACCUUGAUGUGAGGUAUCACUAUAUAUCACAACCACAUUGUCUGAAGGAAGUAUUGGUACUAGUAAACCAUCGAACUUUCAAUUCUAAAAAAUUUGCUCCCACCUGAUCAGUCCAUUCAAACUUCACAUUCGUUUGGGUCAUCGAUCAGUGACUUAGCAUAAGAGAAAAAUCUUCAAAAAAAUCUGCGGUAGUAUCCCUCUAGGACCCAAGAAACACUAGCGAAUUUCUAAUCACACUUGUUUGCCUUUUCCAUUCAUCAUACACCACUUCCACUGCCUCAAUUUUCUUCGUAUCCACUUGAAUACCAUUGCCUAAAAUCACAUGCCCCAAAACACAACAUUAUCCAACCAAAAUCACAUUACUUAAUUUUGGCAUACAACUGUUUCUCUCUUUCUACUGUUUCUCCUCUCUCAAAAUCUGGCAACACAACUCUUAAAUGGUCAAUGUUCCUCUUGACUUCGAGAAUACACCAUAUAUCUCAAUGAAUACAAUGACAACAAAACUUUCCAAGAAAUCCUUGAAUACUCUAUUCAUUAAAUCCAUGAUGCGGCAUAGCAUUUGUUUUAAUCCAAAAAGCAUAAAACACACAUUCAUAAUGUCCAUAUCUAGUUCGAAAACAGUUUUAGGAAUAUCAGCCUCAUUAACCUUCAAUUGAUGAUACCUAGACUAGAUCAAUUUUUGAGAAAAUCUAGCACCUUGUAACUGAUCAAAUAAAUCGUUCAAUUCUAGGCAAAGGAUAUCUAGUUUUCCACCAUGACCCUGUUUUACUGUUUUGUAAUCAAUACAGUAAUCUCAUUGUACCAUCUUUCUUUUUGACAACAACACAGGUGCACCACAUGGUGAAACACUAGGUCUGAUAAAACCUUUAUCAAGCAAUUUUGCAUGUUCUUAAACUCCUUUAACUCCGCGGUGACAUACGAUAAAGGGUAAUAGAAAUAGGUGAUGUACCUGGCAAUAACUCAAUUGUGAAGUCAAUUUACCUACGCUAGUACUCCCUGGCAACUCCAGUCAACUACAUCUAACAUAUGAAUAUACAAUAUCUAAUCAGAUUCGAUUCUUCCUAUUAACAAAAAAAUGCCAAAUGAAAUGCACGAACAGGCAACACAUACAACUCUUACCAUAUUGCGAUUCCCUAUUUUUAUGAGUUACGAAAGCUUUUUUAUAAAUCAUGAAAUUUUGUACCAAAUAGUAUACAUAUGCAGGUACAAAAUAGUUAAAAUUUCAGACUAUUUUAAUACAGUAACUAUUUUUUAAAAAUUCAAAGUGGAGAUUCAAAUUCUGCACCUUAAGAGAUUUAACAGAGCACUCGUUUAAUCAUUUUUCUAAAUUUCUCGAUCUAAUUUGACUCCAAAAAGUUACACAAACAUACUAGAUACAUUUAUCCACCUACAGAAAAACUUUCAGAAAUUUGUACAUUUACAUAACUAUUGUAAAAAUUAGACAAUGCUUUCAGAAUUUUCAGAAUCUGUUCACCAUAAAUAACACAAAACAGUCCGAAAAUCAAAAUUAUUGAUCGAUAAUCAAUCAAAUUCAAAUACAACAUAAACUAACUAAACAAGCAUAUAUCUAUUGAUUCUCAAUUUGUUUUUCUAAUUUCAUAUCCAGAUCUAAAAUAUGAGAAAGUUUGAAACAAAUCUAACAUAUAUAUAUAUUGAAAUCAUACCUAAUUAAAUUUUUCCAAGCCUUCUUUCCUAGUUUUCUUCUUCUCUUAUCAGAGCUCUGCCCUUCUCUCUCUCCGU